rnacentral:rRNA from 1 species
UACGGGGGGGGCAAGCGUUGUUCGGAAUUACUGGGCGUAAAGGGCUCGUAGGCGGCCAACUAAGUCAGACGUGAAAUCCCUCGGCUUAACCGGGGAACUGCGUCUGAUACUGGAUGGCUUGAGUUUGGGAGAGGGAUGCGGAAUUCCAGGUGUAGCGGUGAAAUUCGUAGAUAUCGAGAGGAACACCGGUGGCGAAGGCGGCGAUCUGGACGAUGACUGACGCUGAGACGCGAAAGCGUGGGGAGCAAACAGG